AUCCAUAGCACGUUGGAACACCGGUACCAGUCCGAUCGCCGAAGUUAAGCAACGUAGAACCUAGUAAGUUUCUAGAUGGGCGACCGCUAGGGAAUGCCAAGCGCUGUAAG